rnacentral:rRNA from 13 species
GACUAACUACUGCGAAAGCAUUUACCAAGGAUGUUUUCAUUAAUCAAGAACGAAAGUUGGGGGCUCGAAGACGAUCAGAUACCGUCCUAGUCUCAACCAUAAACGAUGCCGACCAGGGAUCGGCGGAUGUUGCUCUAAGGACUCCGCCAGCACCUUCUGAGAAAUCAGAGUGUUUGGGUUCCGGGGGGAGUAUGGUCGCAAGGCUGAA